GGAAUAUUGGACAAUGGGCGAAAGCCUGAUCCAGCCAUGCCGCGUGUGUGAAGAAGGUCUUCGGAUUGUAAAGCACUUUAAGUUGGGAGGAAGGGCAGUAAGCGAAUACCUUGCUGUUUUGACGUUACCGACAGAAUAAGCACCGGCCAACUAUGUGCCCGCAGCCGCGGUAAUACAGAGGGUGCAAGCGUUAAACGGAAUUACGGGGCGUAAAGCGCACGUAGGCGGCUCUGCAAGUCGGGUGUGAAAGCCCCGGGCUCAACCUGGGAACUGCAUUCGAUACUGCAUUGCUGGAGUAUGGGAGAGGGAAGUGGAAUUUCCGGUGUAGCGGUGAAAUGCGUAGAUAUCGGAAGGAACACCAGUGGCGAAAGCGACUUCCUGGACCAAUACUGACGCUCAGGUGCGAAAGCGUGGGGAGCAAAC
rnacentral:rRNA from 1 species